ACUCCUACGGGAGGCAGCAGUGGGGAAUAUUGCGCAAUGGGCGGAAGCCUGACGCAGCGACGCCGCGUGGGGGAUGACGGCCUUCGGGUUGUAAGCCUCUUUCGCCAUCGACGAAGGGCCUUUUUGGGGUUUGACGGUAGGUGGAGAAGAAGCACCGGCCAACUACGUGCCAGCAGCCGCGGUAACACGUAGGGUGCGAGCGUUGUCCGGAAUUAUUGGGCGUAAAGAGCUCGUAGGCGGUGUGUCGCGUCGGCCGUGAAAACAUGCAGCUUAACUGUGGGCGUGCGGUCGAUACGGGCAUCACUGGAGUUCGGCAGGGGAGACUGGAAUUCCUGGUGUAGCGGUGAAAUGCGCAGAUAUCAGGAGGAACACCGGUGGCGAAGGCGGGUCUCUGGGCCGAUACUGACGCUGAGGAGCGAAAGCGUGGGGAGCGAACAGGAUUAGAUACCCUGGUAG
rnacentral:rRNA from 1 species